rnacentral:misc_RNA from 1 species
AAGUCGUAACAAGGUUUCCGUAGGUGAACCUGCGGAAGGAUCAUUAACACGUAUCCAACGUAAAAAAACCCCCUGUGAACAUUCAAACCUGCUCUCGUAGCCCAGUGCGAUGCAACCGGGUCCCACGCCCCUUUACAACCCCAUUACCUCUGUGAGUCGCGGGAAACUAGCGGCUAAAAAACCUGAACAACUGUUAACAAUGGAUAUCUGGUUCUC